rnacentral:rRNA from 1 species
AGCGAACGCUGGCGGCAGGCCUAACACAUGCAAGUCGAACGAAGUCUUCGGACUUAGUGGCGGACGGGUGAGUAACACGUGGGAACGUGCCUUUAGGUUCGGAAUAACUCAGGGAAACUCGUGCUAAUACCGAAUGUGCCCUUCGGGGGAAAGGUUUAUCGCCUUUAGAGCGGCCCGCGGUUGAUUAGCUAGUUGGGGAGGUAAAGGCUCACCAAGGCGACGAUCAGUAGCUGGUCCGAGAGGAUGAUCAGCCACAUUGGGACUGAGACACGGCCCAAACUCCUACGGGAGGCAGCAGUGGGGAAUCUUGCGCAAUGGGCGAAAGCCUGACGCAGCCAUGCCGCGUGAAUGAUGAAGGUCUUAGGAUUGUAAAAUUCUUUCACCGGGGACGAUAAUGACGGUACCCGGAGAAGAAGCCCCGGCUAACUUCGUGCCAGCCGCCGCGGUAAAAC